GAGCUCAGCUAUUCUGAAAACAUUAGCUAGUUGUAGCUCUACAGCACAAGAAACAAAACCUUCCAUUUGAAACAGGAUGGGGUGGAUGAAUGGUGUGAGGUGAGCGGCCGACAUCUCUGUGUGUGGGAGCCGGGAGCAGAAGAGAAAUGGAGCAGAGCGGCUAAUGGUUUUCUUUUUUAUCCGCUCGCCGUCGGCAGCUGUUGCUAGGACACAGCCGUGCUGCCGCAGAGCCUGCGAGUCUCGGUAAAUAACACGGUGCGGUCGGCGUCCACAGCCGGCCGCGCGCUGUGCUGUGUCAUGUCUCUCUGUCGGCGCUGGUGUGGAGGGUACGGAGAGGAGGGGGGUGUGAACUGUCACAUUCACACUCUGCCCACUCAACCAGAGAACACCACCGUCAUGGAGACGGAGGGAGGGGUGCGGACCCUCUGCGGGCGCUGGGUGUUGGGAUUCAGAGCCACUGGUGUCAGAGCUGCUGGCUUGGAUUAUUGGACCUUCAGUUUGCUGAUGACAGAAACCAUGCUGAGAUUUUCUCUGUCUGUUCGGCUUUGUUUUUUUUGUUGUUGUUGUUUUUUUAGCAGACUGAAGCUCCACAGGCUCCAGUCGCUCAUUUUCUUAUUCAUGUAUCAACACAGAAGAAGAGAGGUUACAACUGUUCAUAAAACAAAGCCUUCCUAAUCGGUUUAGAGACCCUUAAUUUGCUCUAAUUAACUUCUCCUAAUAAACAUUAAAGAAGCCCAA